AGUGUUAAGUGUAAAGGAGAGAUUGAGUGGGAAAAAGCUGGAAUUAUUGCGAUGGAGAAGGGAUUGAGGCAAAGAAAAGCAAGGGAAGGAAUUGAGUCAUUGAGAGAACAACAAAGUGGCAGAGAGACGUUGAACAAUUUUGAACAAUUAACAGAGUGGCGAACUGUUUUAAACAGUUAUUUCAAACAGGAAAUGACUAAGAUGCGCACGACAUCAUGCGCGCGCAAAGAUCACGUAGGUUAAGGAGACAGUUUGUGCAUGUCAUUGUUUAAAAUUAAAAGUUGUAGUUGGCCUGACGACGAGCAGUCAAACUGCUCGAAACGUAGCAAAUUAAAUAAAAUAUUAACCUUCAGAAUCGGAA